GACGAACGCUGGCGGCGUGCCUAAUACAUGCAAGUAGAACGCUGAAGGAGGAGCUUGCUCUUCUGGAUGAGUUGCGAACGGGUGAGUAACGCGUAGGUAACCUGCCUGGUAGCGGGGGAUAACUAUUGGAAACGAUAGCUAAUACCGCAUAAGAGUAGAUGUUGCAUGACAUUUACUUAAAAGGUGCAAUUGCAUCACUACCAGAUGGACCUGCGUUGUAUUAGCUAGUUGGUGGGGUAACGGCUUACCAAGGCGACGAUACAUAGCCGACCUGAGAGGGUGAUCGGCCACACUGGGACUGAGACACGGCCCAGACUCCUACGGGAGGCAGCAGUAGGGAAUCUUCGGCAAUGGACGGAAAUCUGACCGAGCAACGCCGCGUGAGUGAAGAAGGUUUUCGGAUCGUAAAGCUCUGUUGUAAGAGAAGAACGAGUGUGAGAGUGGAAAGUUCACACUGUGACGGUAUCUUACCAGAAAGGGACGGCUAACUACGUG
rnacentral:rRNA from 1 species